rnacentral:rRNA from 1 species
GACGAACGCUGGCGGCGUGCCUAAUACAUGCAAGUCGAGCGAAGUUUUUCUGGUGCUUGCCCCGGAAACACUUAGCGGCGAACGGGUGAGUAACACGUAAAGAACCUGCCUUAUAGACUGGGACAACUAUUGGAAACGAUAGCUAAUACCGGAUAACGGCAUUAACUGCAUGGUUGAUGUUUGAAAGUUGGUUUUGCUAACACUAUGAGAUGGCUUUGCGGUGCAUUAGCUAGUUGGUGGGGUAAAGGCCUACCAAGGCGACGAUGCAUAGCCGACCUGAGAGGGUGAUCGGCCACACUGGGACUGAGACACGGCCCAGACUCCUACGGGAGGCAGCAGUAGGGAAUCUUCCGCAAUGGGCGAAAGCCUGACGGAGCAACGCCGCGUGAGUGAAGAAGGAUUUCGGUUCGUAAAGCUCUGUUGUUAGGGAAGAAUGAUUGUGUAGUAACUAUACACAGUAGAGACGGUACCUAACCAGAAAGCCACGGCUAACUACGUG